CAACAAAUAUUUUAUUUAAAAUAUUAAUUUUGGGUAUUAAAGAUAUAGAAUUUUCUAUUUUGUUGAA
rnacentral:tRNA from 1 species